UACGUAGGGUGCAAGCGUUGUCCGGAAUUAUUGGGCGUAAAGAGCUCGUAGGCGGUUUGUCGCGUCGAGUGUGAAAACCCGGGGCUCAACCCCGGGCCUGCAUUCGAUACGGGCAGACUAGAGUUCGGUAGGGGAGUCUGGAAUUCCUGGUGUAGCGGUGAAAUGCGCAGAUAUCAGGAGGAACACCGGUGGCGAAGGCGGGACUCUGGGCCGAUACUGACACUGAGGAGCGAAAGCGUGGGGAGCGAACAGG
rnacentral:rRNA from 1 species